GCCCUUCACUACGGAAUAGCCUCUGGAAACGGAGAGUAAUACCGUAUGCGCCCUUCGGGGAAAGAUUUAUCGGUGAAGGAUUAGCCCGCGUCUGAUUAGAUAGUUGGUGGGGUAACGGCCUACCAAGUCGACGAUCAGUAGCUGGUUUGAGAGGAUGAUCAGCAACACUGGGACUGAGACACGGCCCAGACUCCUACGGGAGGCAGCAGUGGGGAAUCUUAGACAAUGGGCGCAAGUGAUCUAGCCAUGCCGCGUGAGUGACGAAGGCCUUAGGGUCGUAAAGCUCUUUCGCCAGGGAUGAUAAUGACAGUACCUGGUAAAGAAACCCCGGCUAACUCCGUGCCAGCAGCCGCGGUAAUACGGAGGGGGUUAGCGUUGUUCGGAAUUACUGGGCGUAAAGCGCGCGUAGGGGAUUGGAAAGUUGGGGGUGAAAUCCCGGGGCUCAACCCCGAACUGCCUCCAAAACUAUCAGUCUAGAGUUCGAGAGAGGUGAGUGGAAUUCCAAGUGUAGAGGUGAAAUUCGUAGAUAUUUGGAGGAACACCAGUGGCGAAGGGGCUCACUGGCUCGAUACUGACGCUGAGGUGCGAAAGUGUGGGGAGCAAACAGGAUUAGAUACCCUGGUAGUCCACACCGUAAACGAUGAAUGCCAGACGUCGGGGGGCUUGCCUUCGGUGUCACACCUAACGGAUUAAGCAUUCCGCCUGGGGAGUA
rnacentral:rRNA from 1 species